rnacentral:rRNA from 1 species
GGAAGUAAAAGUCGUAACAAGGUUUCCGAAGGAGAACCUGCGGAAGGAUCAUUACCGAGUGAGGGUCCUCGUGGCCCAACCUCCCACCCGUGACUACUGUACCACUGUUGCUUCGGCGGGCCCGCCAGCGUCCGCUGGCCGCCGGGGGGCUUCUGCCCCCGGGCCCGUGCCCGCCGGAGACCCCAACACGAACACUGUUUCUGAAAGCCUGUAUGAAUUCGAUUCUUUGUAAUCAGUUAAAACUUUCAACAAUGGAUCUCUUGGUUCCGGCAUCGAUGAAGAACGCAGCGAAAUGCGAUAACUAAUGUGAAUUGCAGAAUUCAGUGAAUCAUCGAGUCUUUGAACGCACAUUGCGCCCCCUGGUAUUCCGGGGGGCAUGCCUGUCCGAGCGUCAUUACUGCCCUCAAGCCCGGCUUGUAUUGGGUCCUCGUCCCCCUCCCCGGGGGACGGGCCCGAAAGGCAGCGGCGGCACCGCGUCCGGUCCUCGAGCGUAUGGGGCUUUGUCACCCGCUCUGUAGGCCCGGCCGGCGCCAGCCCACGCAACACCUUUUUUUUCAGGUUGACCUCGGAUCAGGUAGGGAUACCCGCUGAACUUAAGCAUAUCAAUAAGCGGAGGAAAAGAAACCAACCGGGAUUGCCUCAGUAACGGCGAGUGAAGCGGCAAGAGCUCAAAUUUGAAAGCUGGCCCCUCCGGGGUCCGCAUUGUAAUUUGCAGAGGAUGCUUCGGGUGCAGCCCCCGUCUAAGUGCCCUGGAAUGGGCCGUCAGAGAGGGUGAGAAUCCCGUCUGGGAUGGGGUGCCUGUGCCCGUGUGAAGCUCCUUCGACGAGUCGAGUUGUUUGGGAAUGCAGCUCUAAAUGGGUGGUAAAUUUCAUCUAAAGCUAAAUAUUGGCCGGAGACCGAUAGCGCACAAGUAGAGUGAUCGAAAGAUGAAAAGCACUUUGAAAAGAGAGUUAAACAGCACGUGAAAUUGUUGAAAGGGAAGCGCUUGCGACCAGACUCGCCUCCGGGGUUCAGCCGGCAUUCGUGCCGGUGUACUUCCCCGGGGGCGGGCCAGCGUCGGUUUGGGCGGCCGGUCAAAGGCCUCCGGAAUGUAGCGCCCUUCSGGGCGCCUUAUAGCCGGGGGUGCAAUGCGGCCAGCCUGGACCGAGGAACGCGCUUCGGCUC